UACGGGGGGGGCAAGCGUUGUUCGGAAUUACUGGGCGUAAAGGGCUCGUAGGCGGCCAACUAAGUCAGACGUGAAAUCCCUCGGCUUAACCGGGGAACUGCGUCUGAUACUGGAUGGCUUGAGAUUGGGAGAGGGAUGCGGAAUUCCAGGUGUAGCGGUGAAAUGCGUAGAUAUCUGGAGGAACACCGGUGGCGAAAGCAGCUCUCUGGGACGGUACUGACGCUGAGACGCGAAAGCGUGGGGAGCGAACAGG
rnacentral:rRNA from 1 species